UCCAAGCCUAGACUCCGAACUGACGGCAAAGCCCUGGGCCACCGAAGCGGAGCCCCGAACUUGACCACUUGGCCACCAGGCUGGCCCCACGGUGGUCUUCUUGAAGCCUCCUGGAAAACAGGAGAGAAGCUUUUUAACUCCAUGGAGACCAAUGGAUUAAUCAGUUCAAAGAUUAUUAUGUGUGGUUGAGAGAGGAAGUCGGGUGACAGAAUGAAAUAUGCUGAAGCAUGUGGGCAUUCUGACUUGUCCCAGAAGCACAAUAAGUAAACCAGCUGCUCUCAAAAUUGCAGGCUCCUUGAGGACACCGGCCAGUUCUGCUGGUCUCAGCAUUCCCAGUGUCUUCUGUGGCACCUGAGCCUGAGGAGAUUUUCCUAGCUAAGGUGGAACUCAGAGCAAAGCCUUGGCCCGAUUAUAAGUACGAGGAAGACUUCCUGGGCAAUGGAGAGAAGUAGGCAACUGGCUAACUGUGUUUCUUGGAAAAGUCUCCUUCUGAUCAUCUGGGCUGUGAAUGAGGACCCUGUGGGUAAACUGGAGUAGAAGGAACUGUCUCCUGCUGCCUGUCCCCUGGCUCCAGCUGGAGUGAUGGGGCCUGGCUCAAAGGGACUGUUUCAGAAAGGGAGCAGCAACCUUGCUCUGGAACAAAUCCUGUAUUGCUUUUGCAAAUAAUUAUAAUCCACUAGCAUGAAGGCUGUACCUUUUAUUUCCAUGCUACCUUGUGUUUAAAAUGAAAGAGUUAAAAUGAAACCCCUGAAAAUUUAGAAGGCAAAUAAAGCAAUCCUGCUAAUUUAAUGAAGACCAAGCUGUAAAUGUAGCUUUUAUGGAGUGUCAACCACUCACUGAGGAGCCUGGUAGCCAGAGGGAAAGGAGGGGAAGGGGUGUGCUAUGACUCAUCCCAAGAGGCUGGAGCUGUUUCCAGUUUUCUAUAGCAUGUAGGCCUUCUAAAGAGAAGGGGAGCUCUUCUAUUAAGAAACCAUCCAGAAACCUCAGCCUUGUGAAUUUUCCCUUCAACUUGCCUUGUUUACCUUCUCCAUGAUGAGACUGGAGGAAUGACACAGCUGUCAGAAAGCACUCAUCCCUCUGGGUUGGUGAACGUUUCCCUCUGGUACCUCUGUGCCAGGGGGUCCGUAUUGAAGACAAGCUUCUGUCCAGUGGCCUCUGUGGUAUGUGGCCUAUCUACAAAGCUAGUCAGAACGCAAGGCAGGGAGGGCCAGCCUCUCCUUCCGGACGUCCUUUCAGUAAUCCCCUUGUCACAGCCACCUCCGAAGGCUGCUCACCCUGACAGAGGGGAUGUGAUGGGCAGCCUGUCAAAUAGAUUGUGAGUGCAUUAGCAGGAUUAGCAGUGAAGGCUAAUAUUGCAGCAUUUCCAAAGUUCAUUCACAGCAUCUGAGACCGGGCUGCUCAGCUGCCAAAUUGGGCAGGCGCAGGCUUCAGAAUUAAUGUCACAUCUGGGACUGGCCCUGAAGUGGUCAGAGGCACAACAGUUCCAUUGUGUUUGACUUGUGUUUAUGUAUUUUUAUUCCACAACAGAGCUUAACUUAUAACAUUAGUCAAAAGAUACCGUCUAAGUGUUCUUUUCCAUCUUGUUGAUAAACUAGCUGAAAUACAUUAGCAGCCCCUCCAAACCAGAUGCUUUGUUCUUGGCAGUUGCUGAAGAAUUGCUGAUUUUAUUUCUGCUUAUUAAAGCAAUAUACCCUCAUUUUGGAAAAAUUGGAUCAGAAAAGUAUAAGGGAGAAAUUUAAAAUA